AGUAUUGAGCUUAAAGUAGAUGACUUGGAGCAGAGGAGAUAUUCCCUCUGUGUAUUCCUUGAUUUCUUCUGAGUUGCUGACGAGGUGAACAGUGGCCUCACCCCGAGUUCCUAAUCUGGCUUCUCCUUUUGUGUUUGUGCCUUAACUACAGAAUCCACAGACCACGUCCAUUGUGGUAAAUUCCUCUUUCAGCUUUUAUUGGGUCUUUAUUGCCACCAAAAACCCCACACCGUUUAAGCAUUUUAGGAGCAAACUGUGAAUGUGUGUUCUCCUCCUCCGUGACAUCUCUACGGUCAGUUCAGUACUACAAAGAAAGCCUUCCAAGUGUUCUCCUGACUCUUCAGACCAUUUCAGUAUCCUCAAUAUGGUCAAUUUUUCCCACUUACCAGUGAUUGGGUGGCCUGGUUGGUUCUCAUGGAACUACACAUGUCCUUGUACUAUAGACAAUAACCGUGUAAUCAUGUGUGAUUCUGUCUUCCUUAAUCAUUUUCAGGGCAAAUGACUUUAAAAAGAUAUUUAAGGGACACAUAAAGAUUAGAGCAAUUAUGAGGGGUUUGUUGGAGCAGGAGACUAAUUUGUAAAACUCAUCCCCUUGAGUCAGCAGAGAGGGGGGAGCUGACCGUCACUGCUCCCAUCUGCCAAUGGCUCUGUCAUGUCUGAGCUUUUGUUUUGUGUUUUCUAUGUUAGCAGUAGCUGAAUACCUACCUAUCAUUUAAAUAUUUAAAUGUACUAUCUCUCUCCCCUUUUCUUUUUGUAAAUAAGGGAACAAAGCAAUCAAACACCUUCUGGGGGAUCCUAGCUUGAGGAUUUUAUCAACCAUUUCAAAUGUAAAUGUAAAAAUCAGUCCCUGUAGGAAACUCGCAUCCCCAUUUCUGUUUGUUGCAGUUGGAAAUGUAAAUAAGAUGCUGUAAGACCUCCCUUAAGGUCUAAUGCUAACUGGGCAGUAGCAGGUUGGUUGCCCUAUUUUUAUUAGGUUUUGAAGGUUUUAAUUUUCUUUCUUUCCUAAAUGUACAGUAGAAUGGUGUCCAUGUGUAAGUGUCGACUGUAGUGGGGUUUGUCCAGCAGGCCUGAACUUUAUACUUUGAAAUAAAUGACUGAGUUUUUAACAUUCUGA